AUACUUACCUGGACGGGGUCGAUGGGCGAUCUGCGAGGCCCAUGGCCUGAGUUAGCGACCUCCAUUGCACCUGGGAGGGGCGCUUGCCUAAGGUCUCCUCAAGUAGGAGAGCCCAUAUCAUAAUUUGUGGUAGCGGGGGCCUGCGUUCGCGCGGCCCUUGU
rfam:Gossypium arboreum cultivar AKA8401 contig_35898_1, whole genome shotgun sequence.